rnacentral:tRNA from 1 species
GCCUCAGUAGUCUAAAGGCUCAGAACACUCGCAUGGAAUGCAAGAGAUCUGGGUUCGACUCUCGGUCGAGGUG